rnacentral:rRNA from 1 species
UACGUAGGCAGCGAGCGUUGUUCGGAGUUACUGGGCGUAAAGGGCUCGUAGGCGGCCAACUAAGUCAGACGUGAAAUCCCCAGGCCCAACCUGGGAACUGCGUCUGAUACUGGAUGGCUUGAAUCCGGGAGAGGGAUGCAGAAUUCCAGGUGUAGCGGUGAAAUGCGUAGAUAUCUGGAGGAACACCGGUGGCGAAGGCGGCAUCCUGGACCAACACUGACGCUGAGGAGCGAAAGCCAGGGGAGCAAACGGG